GACGAACGCUGGCGGCGUGCUUAACACAUGCAAGUCGAACGGAAAGGCCCUGCUUUUGUGGGGUGCUCGAGUGGCGAACGGGUGAGUAACACGUGAGUAACCUGCCCUUGACUUUGGGAUAACUUCAGGAAGCUGGGGCUAAUACCGGAUAGGAGCUCCUGCUGCAUGGUGGGGGUUGGAAAGUUUCGGCGGUUGGGGAUGGACUCGCGGCUUAUCAGCUUGUUGGUGGGGUAGUGGCUUACCAAGGCUUUGACGGGUAGCCGGCCUGAGAGGGUGACCGGCCACAUUGGGACUGAGAUACGGCCCAGACUCCUACGGGAGGCAGCAGUGGGGAAUAUUGCACAAUGGGCGAAAGCCUGAUGCAGCAACGCCGCGUGCGGGAUGACGGCCUUCGGGUUGUAAACCGCUUUCGCCUGUGACGAAGCGUGAGUGACGGUAAUGGGUAAAGAAGCACCGGCUAACUACGUG
rnacentral:rRNA from 1 species